GGUAAUGCCGGAUGCUCCAGUUGACCGCAUGGUCCUCUGGGAAAGCUUUUGCGGUAUGGGAUGGGGUCGCGUCCUAUCAGCUUGAUGGCGGGGUAACGGCCCACCAUGGCUUCGACGGGUAGCCGGCCUGAGAGGGCGACCGGCCACAUUGGGACUGAGAUACGGCCCAGACUCCUACGGGAGGCAGCAGUGGGGAAUAUUGCACAAUGGGCGCAAGCCUGAUGCAGCGACGCCGCGUGCGGGAUGACGGCCUUCGGGUUGUAAACCGCUUUUGACUGGGAGCAAGCCCUUCGGGGUGAGUGUACCUUUCGAAUAAGCACCGGCUAACUACGUGCCAGCAGCCGCGGUAAUACGUAGGGUGCAAGCGUUAUCCGGAAUUAUUGGGCGUAAAGGGCUCGUAGGCGGUUCGUCGCGUCCGGUGUGAAAGUCCAUCGCUUAACGGUGGAUCCGCGCCGGGUACGGGCGGGCUUGAGUGCGGUAGGGGAGACUGGAAUUCCCGGUGUAACGGUGGAAUGUGUAG
rnacentral:rRNA from 1 species